rnacentral:rRNA from 1 species
AUUGAACGCUGGCGGCAGGCCUAACACAUGCAAGUCGAGCGGAUGAAGGGAGCUUGCUCCUGGAUUCAGCGGCGGACGGGUGAGUAAUGCCUAGGAAUCUGCCUGGUAGUGGGGGAUAACGUCCGGAAACGGGCGCUAAUACCGCAUACGUCCUGAGGGAGAAAGUGGGGGAUCUUCGGACCUCACGCUAUCAGAUGAGCCUAGGUCGGAUUAGCUAGUUGGUGGGGUAAAGGCCUACCAAGGCGACGAUCCGUAACUGGUCUGAGAGGAUGAUCAGUCACACUGGAACUGAGACAGGGUCCAGACUCCUACGGGAGGCAGCAGUGGGGAAUAUUGGACAAUGGGCGAAAGCCUGAUCCAGCCAUGCCGCGUGUGUGAAGAAGGUCUUCGGAUUGUAAAGCACUUUAAGUUGGGAAGAAGGGCAGUAAGUUAAUACCUUGCUGUUUUGACGGUACCAAAAGAAUAAGCACCGGCUAACUUCGUG